CAAGUCCUCCCUCCGUCCCAAAAUUCUUGUCUUAGAUUUGUCUAGAUACGGAUGUAUCUAAUACUAAAAUGUGACUUGAUACAUCCGCAUCUAGACAAAUCUAAGACAAGAAUUUUGGGACGGAGGGAGUACUUU
rnacentral:pre_miRNA from 1 species